rnacentral:lncRNA from 1 species
UUCUUCCUAUGUUGGUUGCAAGUUUUCUCAGCUUUGUUCUUGCGUAGAACAACACAGUUUUUUAACUGGAUUAAAAGUUUCUCACACAGGUAUUUCAGUCCAAAUAUUAUUUUUGUGUUUCUGAGGGUAAACCAACACCAGAGUUCCUGCUCUGCCAUCUUGAUGUCAUCUCUACACAUCUACUUUUUUUCCCCUAGAAUGUCUCUCUCCCCUGCUUGCAAUAUAGCAAACCUUUUCCUUUGGGGAAUUGUUCAUUUCUGUGUACUCCAGUCGUGAGGUUGUAAUGAGGGCUGCUAAUUACCUGUCACUCUCCUUCUGGCUUCAGGGAAGGGUGUGUGACUUAGACCUGGCCAAAUGGGUCAUCUCAUUUGGUCCAGUUAUGGUCAUGUGACUCAAGCAGUGACAAUGUGUUCAUUUCUGGAUUUCUAAAUGGCAAUUGUGAGAAUUCUUCUCAGAUUGCUAAGGAAUAUGAAUCCAAAGCUGAUUGAAAGUUGUCAAGUUUCGUUAAUGAAUAUCCUACUGUAGGGAGUAUGGUUGGCAGACAUUGAAAUAGAUGUAAUUUAGAGAAAUGACAAGCUACCAACAUUGAGAAUUCUUACUCAGAAACAUAUAUUUCUCCAUUUAUUCAGAAGUUUUAUUAGUUUGUUCUCACACUGCUAUAAAGAACUACCUGAGACUGCUUUCCUCCAAUUCAACAUGAGAUUUGGGUGGGGACACAAAUCUAAACCAUAUGUUUUCUGAUUUUUGAAAAAAUUUUAUAAUUUUUUUCUAUGAGUCUGUCACAUUUCUUUUCAGGUUUGCUCAUAGGUGUUUUAUAAUUUUAGUUGAUAUUGUGAAUAAGAUCUCCCUCCCUACCCCCAUUACAUUUGCUAAGUGGUUUUUGAUAUGUUACUGGAAAGCUGCUGGUUUUGGAGUGUUUAUUAGCAUCUUUAUUCAGCCAUGUGCCUGGACCAUUAUAAAAUCUUUUUUGAUUGAGCCUUUUUUGUAUUCUAGGUAGACUAUCAGAAAGUUCAUAAAUAGUGAUAGUUUCAUGUUUUUAUUUCUAUUUCCUUUCUGUUUUAGUAAUACAUUUAAGAUUGCCAUUAAAAUAUUGACAAACAGUUAUUCCAGGCAACAUCUUUACCUCAUUGAGAGGCAUUCCUUGCUGUCUGGCCAAAAAUAUAUCAACAUCGUUUAUUGUGACUGUUGCAUAUUUUAUGAUAGGAGUAGACACUGUAGACCACAAAGUGUCCUAUCUGAUACACAGGGAUCCUCAGGGCACCACCUCGCACUUUCUUUUUGUUUUUUGAGGUAUACUCCCAUGUAUACCUAAAUCCAUGCAUACUUAAGUCCUGUAGUUGGCCCUGCAGAACCUGUGUAUACGAAAAGUUGGUUU